ACUAGCCUCUCAUGUGGUAUG
rnacentral:siRNA from 1 species